rnacentral:rRNA from 1 species
AACGAACGCUGGCGGCAGGCUUAACACAUGCAAGUCGAACGGAUCCUCCGGGAUUAGUGGCUGACGGGUGAGUAACGCGUGGGAACGUACCCUUUGCUACGGAAUAACUCAGGGAAACUUGGGCUAAUACCGGAUGAGCCCUACGGGGGACAGAUUUAUCGUCAAAGGAUCGGCCCGCGUUGUAUUAGCUAGUUGGUGGUGUAAUGGCCUACCACGGCGACGAUCCAUAGCUGGUCUGAGAGGAUGAGCAGCCACACUGGGACUGAGACACGGCCCAGACUACUGCAGGAGGCGGCAGUGGGGAAUAUUGGACAAUGGGGGCAAGCCUGAUCCAGCCAUGCCGGGUGAGUGAUGAAGGUCUGAGGAUUGUAAAGCUCUUUAACCGGUGAAGAUAAUGACGGUAGCCGGAGAAGAAGCCCCGGCUAACUUCGUG